AGUGAACGCUGGCGGUAGGCCUAACACAUGCAAGUCGAACGGCAGCACAGUAAGAGCUUGCUCUUACGGGUGGCGAGUGGCGGACGGGUGAGGAAUACAUCGGAAUCUACUUUUUCGUGGGGGAUAACGUAGGGAAACUUACGCUAAUACCGCAUACGACCUACGGGUGAAAGCAGGGGAUCUUCGGACCUUGCGCGAUCGAAUGAGCCGAUGUCGGAUUAGCUAGUUGGCGGGGUAAAGGCCCACCAAGGCGACGAUCCGUAGCUGGUCUGAGAGGAUGAUCAGCCACACUGGAACUGAGACACGGUCCAGACUCCUACGGGAGGCAGCAGUGGGGAAUAUUGGACAAUGGGCGCAAGCCUGAUCCAGCCAUACCGCGUGGAUGAAGAAGGCCUUCGGGUUGUAAAGCCCUUUUGUUGGGAAAGAAAAGCAGCAGGUUAAUACCCCGCUGUUCUGACGGUACCCAAAGAAUAAGCACCGGCUAACUUCGUG
rnacentral:rRNA from 1 species